ensembl:lncRNA
GGGAGCCCCGGGACCACGAGGGCGCCGCGGAGGCGCACGGAUUCCGGGGAGGACGGAGGGGCAAACCGUGGAAACGAGGGAGUCCCGAGAAGACACGAAGGGGCGAGACACCCCUAGGGACGGGAGACACAGGGACGCAGAGAGACCCCUAGGGACCGACCGCGGCGAGCGGGGAGGGGCCCAGGCAGCACGGGGCAGGAGGCGACAGACGGGGGCCCCUGAGGUGGGCCAGGGGACUGAGCCACGCCGCCCCGGGGAGGGCGGCGACAUCGGGGUCCAGGGAGGAGAGACAGACGGAGACGCGCAGCGAAGCACACGGCCGCAGAAGUUCUCGGACGCAGAGCGAGGACGAGACUGCUCUGCAGGACCGGAGACUGCAAGAGACAGAGGCGGACCAGAGGAUGAGGGGCAGCACAGGCUCUGAGAGGCAGGCGGCGUCAGGGACAGAGCGCCCCAAGCCUCCCUGAACCCUGGGCCUUCAGUACCAGGCAGAAAGUUUGUUGAUUGGCGCAGUGACGCGGACACGGGGACCGCGGUGAGGGCGGAGACGCCGGACUGGCUGGACCCUCCCAGCCACCUAGCGGAAAGGGGGCUCUGAGGCAGAAGGUGGUCCACGAAGUCAAGAGCCACAAGUUCACCGCUCGCUUCUUCAAGCAGCCCACCUUCUGCAGCCACUGCACCGACUUCAUCUGGGGUAUUGGAAAACAGGGCCUGCAGUGUCAAGUCUGCAGCUUUGUGGUUCAUCGGCGAUGCCACGACCCGUGACCUUCGAGUGUCCAGGUGCUGGGAAGGGCCCCAGACGGACGUGAGUGCCCGGACACCUGCCUCCUCCUCAGGCCACACCCGCCCUCACCCCCUGGGCGACCGUCCCAAUUUCUCCUGCUAUUUUUAAGGCUGGGAGGGGAGGGGGGCUGGAGAGAUAGGGGGAGCUUGUCUGGCCCAGAUUCUUUGCCCUUGGCCUGGAAAAGGGGACGUGAGGGGCCUGGGACAGGCCGGGGACACAGGUGGGAGACAGAGGAGGGCUGAGGAGACCAGAGACCAAGACGGGAAGGGUGGGCUGCCAUCCAGGGGGCCAGAUUUAGGGAAACUGAAGGCCGAGGGCCAGAGAGGACAAACCAGUACAGGCAUGGAGAUCCUGAGGUAAGAGAGAACCUGAGAGAGGAACAGGGAUGCAGAGAGAGAGAGAGAGAGAGAGAGAGAGAGAGAGAGAGAGAGGGAGAGAGGGAGAGUGAGCAGGGGAGAGACUGACAGGAGCAGAGAGCACUGAGGGAAACAGCCACUGAGACGAGGACCGGACCUCGAGGGGCAAGGCCAAUGCAGGAGAUGUAGAAGGCGGGAGGGAGGGUGGAGAGCCUGCAGUGCCCAGCACAUGCAUGCAUGCGCAGAUGCACACUCAGAUCCGCAGUCUGCCACCCGGCCCUCUGCGAGUCGGGGCUGCCGAGAGCCACCUGCAGGGGCCCGGGCCUCACUCCUCUUCACCGCGUCUUUGAGCCCCUGUAAAAUGUGGCCAGUGGUCUAGUGCAGACCCACAGAACUGUCCCCGAGGCCAUGCUGUGUGGCCACGAACCGCUGGGCCACAGAAGGGCUGCUGCACUGAGGAGCACUCGUCUGAGGCCCGCUUUGUUCAACUGGCUUAAACUCAGACAUGGCAGGUGAUCGGUACCAGUGUGGACAACCCAGGCCGGGCACAGGUCAGGGACCUCAGGUGGGCUGAGCAUUUUGCCCAGGGUUUGACACAAAGUGGGAGAGUUUUGUGAUUAGGAAAGACAGAGAGAGAGAGAGGGAGAGAGGAGAUCCACAGGAGUCCUGAGACAUUUUGUGAGUUUGUCAGGUGAAGAAAACAGAAGUUUCCCAGAGCCUAUAUUCAGUGCCGCUGCCCACCACCUC